GAUGAACGCUGGCGGCGUGCCUAAUACAUGCAAGUCGAACGGGGAAUGUAGCAAUACGUUCUUAGUGGCGAACGGGUGAGUAACGCGUUAGUGACCUGCCCCGAAGUGUGGGAUAACAGUCCGAAAGGAUUGCUAAUACCGCAUGUGAUCACCGGAAUUAGAAACCGGUGAUUAAAGGAGUAAUUCGCUUUGGGAGGGACCUGCGUCCCAUCAGCUAGUUGGUAAGGUAACGGCCUACCAAGGCUAUGACGGGUAGGGGACCUGAGAGGGUGGACCCCCACAAUGGAACUGAAACACGGGCCAUACACCUACGGGUAGCAGCAGUAGGGAAUAUUAGUUAAUCUACGAAAGUGGGAACCAGUAACGCCGCGUGUGCGAUGAAGGCCUUCGGGUCGUAAAGCACUUUUUACAGGGACGAGGAAGGACGGUACCUGUAGAAUAAGCCUCGGCUAACUACGUGCCAGCCGCCGCUGUAAAAC
rnacentral:rRNA from 1 species